AGGGUUUGAUUCUGGCUCAGAACGUACGCUGGCGGCACGCUUAACACAUGCAAGUCGAACGCAGUAGCAAUACUGAGUGGCAGACGGGUGAGUAUAAUGUGGGAAUCUGCCUUUUGGUUCGGAAUAACUCGGGGAAACCUGAGCUAAUACCGGAUAAGCCCUUACGGGGAAAGAUUUAUCGCCAAAAGAUGAGCCCGCACUUGAUUAGCUUGUUGGUGAGGUAAAAGCUCACCAAGGCAACAAUCAAUAGCUGUUCUUAGAGGAAGACCAGCCACAUUGGGACUGAGACACGGCCCAGACUCCUACGGGAGGCAGCAGUGGGGAAUCUUGCACAAUGGGGGAAACCCUGAUGCAGCGAUGCCGCGUGAGUGAAGAAGGCCUUUGGGUUGUAAAACUCUUUCGUCGGGGAAGAAAAUGACUGUACCCGAAUAAGAAGGUCCGGCUAACUUCGUGCCAGCAGCCGCGGUAAUUC
rnacentral:rRNA from 1 species